rnacentral:rRNA from 1 species
CCUACGGGAGGCUGCAGUCGAGAAUCAUUCACAAUGGGGGAAACCCUGAUGGGGCGACGCCGCGUGGGGGAAUGAAGGUCUUCGGAUUGUAAACCCCUGUCAUGUGGGAGCAAAUUAAAAAGAUAGUACCACAAGAGGAAGAGACGGCUAACUCUGUGCCAGCAGCCGCGGUAAUACAGAGGUCUCAAGCGUUGUUCGGAAUCACUGGGCGUAAAGCGUGCGUAGGCUGUUUCGUAAGUCGUGUGUGAAAGGCGCGGGCUCAACCCGCGGACGGCACAUGAUACUGCGAGACUAGAGUAAUGGAGGGGGACCCGGAAUUCUCGGUGUAGCAGUGAAAUGCGUAGAUAUCGAGAGGAACACUCGUGGCGAAGGCGGGUUCCUGGACAUUAACUGACGCUGAGGCACGAAGGCCAGGGGAGCGAAAAGGAUUAGAUACCCUAGUAGUC